AAACUACAUUUUACUGAAACACAAUGCAUAGGCAUAUUAUUAGAAUUUGGAAAAAGGCAUAAGUUUUAUAUUACAGUAUGUACGUAAGUGAAAGGAGACCUCCAUAAAACACAUGCCAACAAAACAAAUCUCAUGUAUCAGCUGCAUUUUAGUGUCCUACAGAGUUAACUUUAGUUAACUUUAUUUAUUCUUAUAUGCGCCUUGCUUAGUGGUAGAUAUUUUAAAAACAGGUUUAAAAAAAAAAGGUGACUCAGAAGCACACUAGAUAUGGAAGACACAGGGAGGGGUGGUGGUGGUGGGAGAGCGAGAAAGAGAGAGGGAGACAGAGAGGGAGAGGGAGAGAGAAUGAAUCACAUAUUAGGGAGGUGCCUGAGAAAAGGAAAGCUUGAUAGAAGAGAUGAUAUUUCUCUUGGCUUUUGAAGAUGAGCCAGUUGUUCAAGGCUGUGAACGGAAGGGUGCACGUCCUGGACCAGGGUGAAUAACUGCAUAAAGAGGAAGAUGGAAAGCUCUGUUUGGGACUAUGGAUUGUGUGUUGAAACUUCCAGUGUUUGAAGAUCUGCUUCUUUGCCCUUUGAACCCUGAGCAAGGAACCUUUCCAAGCAGUGUGAACUCACUGGCUUCCCCAUAACGCUACAGAGCUCACGCUGCCAUAUAACUGGGAAUCGGAGAGGGCUGCUCCUUUUUGAACGAAGAAAAAAAGAAAAAAAAAGAUGUAUCCAGAGCAUCGUCCUCCAAACAAACAAGAAGAGCACAUAUUUGCAAGCUAUAUAGUAAAGUUGUUGCAAUGAAGAUUUUGAUUUUAAUUAAGAAUGGGAUUUGUAGGACAAUUAGUGAGAUGUAAUAUUCUUUGCAAGAAACAGUACCCUUAUUGGAAAUACCACCUAAAAUGGAGCGGGGGCAUUUGGAGCUGCACAGAGACUUAUAUCUAUGGGUUUCCACAGUUAAUGAGAAAGAAAAAUACAAGGAAAAUGUAGGUACCUCACCUGAAAUGCAGGAAUACAAAUACCGUUUGCCUGGUUUUUUUUUUCCCCUCCUUAAUUUUUCUUUUUAAUUUAAACCAUAGAAAUCUGUGCUGUUGAGAUUUCAACCAGGUAAUCAUCUUAUCAUUAAUACGUUUAUGUUAUUUCUUCACAUUGACUUUAAACCACUGAUCAUUAGGAGUAUACCUCAUCUUUUUUGAUGAUUUUACAAGGACAUAAUAAUAUACUUAAUAGUAAUAAAGGCAGUGAACUCUCCAGUUA